rnacentral:ncRNA from 1 species
CCGUAGUAAUUCUAGAGCUAAUACAUGCAUAAAUACCCAACUGCUUGUCGGGCGGGUAGCAUUUAUUAGAUUGAAACCAAUGCAGUCUUCGGGCUGGUAUUGUGUUGAAUCAUAAUAACUGUGCGGAUCGCGCUUUUGCGCGAUAAAUCGAUUGAGUUUCUGCCCUAUCAGCUUUGGAUGGUAGGAUAUGGGCCUACCAUGGCAUUAACGGGUAACGGGGAAUUAGGGUUUGAUUCCGGAGAGGGAGCCUUAGAAACGGCUACCACAUCCAAGGAAGGCAGCAUGCGCGUAAAUUACCCAAUCCUGA